UAUACAAACAACCAUGUGUUCCACCGGCGUCACUGUAGGCUUCCUUCCAUGCCUACGGUUAGAUGCUUGAAUUUCUUUGGUGGCAUUCUGUCGACACAUGGAAGAUUGAUUUUAGGUAAGAUGUAUCUCCAGCUAUUGAACGCGGGAAAGCCUUUCUCUUUCCUGCCCCAAAAACUGAUAUAGUUGGUCAUAAUUCUUGCAACAUCA
rnacentral:snoRNA from 22 species